rnacentral:rRNA from 1 species
AACGAACGCUGGCGGCAGGCCUAACACAUGCAAGUCGAGCGAGCAUUUCGGUGCUAGCGGCGGACGGGUGAGUAACGCGUGGGAACGUGCCCUUUUCUGCGGAAUAGUCCGGGGAAACUGGGGGUAAUACCGCAUCCGCCCUUUUGGGGAAAGAUUUAUCGGAGAAGGAUCGGCCCGCGUUGGAUUAGGUAGUUGGUGGGGUAAUGGCCCACCAAGCCGACGAUCCAUAGCUGGUUUGAGAGGAUGAUCAGCCACACUGGGACUGAGACACGGCCCAGACUCCUACGGGAGGCAGCAGUGGGGAAUCUUAGACAAUGGGGGCAACCCUGAUCUAGCCAUGCCGCGUGAGUGAUGAAGGCCUUAGGGUUGUAAAGCUCUUUCAGCUGGGAAGAUAAUGACGGUACCAGCAGAAGAAGCCCCGGCUAACUCCGUG